rnacentral:rRNA from 9 species
UUAAACGACUCUCGGCAACGGAUAUCUCGGCUCUCGCAUCGAUGAAGAACGUAGCGAAAUGCGAUACUUGGUGUGAAUUGCAGAAUCCCGUGAACCAUCGAGUCUUUGAACGCAAGUUGCGCCCGAAGCCUUCGGGCCGAGGGCACGUCUGCCUGGGCGUCA